AAAAGAAGAGUCCCAAAUACUGCAUUGUCGCUGAAUGUUCCCCCAAAAGGCCGGAAACCCCCUGACUCAGAGAUGUUCAUUUCAACAACUAGAUGGUGGAUGUGACGGGGGAAGUUUCAAGGCCAGGAGUUUGAGAACAGCCUGAGCAACUGAGCAACAAAAGUAGGAGAGCCCAGCUGAAAAAAAUGAAAAAAGAAGGAGGAGGAGGACGAAGAAAGAAAAGAAAAUUAAAGAAAAGAAGAGAAAAGAAAAGAAAAGAAAAAAGAAAAACAACCACCAAGAAAGUUAAAAUUCUCCAAUGGUACAGGCACAAAAAAGAGCAAUUUCACGUCUUUUCCCACAACAUGGAUAGAGCUGGAAGCAAGUAUGUACCCAGUGAACUGCCUUCUGCUUACAAGUGGGAGGUAAACAGUGGGUACGCACAUGGUCAUCAAGAUGGAAAUAACAGACACUCCAAAAGGGAGGAGGAGGGUAGGAAGGGGACGAGGAAUGAAUAAAUCACCCGUCGGAGACAACGUUCACCACGUGGGUAUUGGAUACACUGGAGGUCCACUUCUACAACUGGAGGCAGUAGUAUGCCGAUCUAACAAACAAGCACGUACACCUCCUGAGUCUGUAAAAUACCAAAACAAUGAUGACAGGACCAGCAGCAGCAGCAGCAACAACAACAACAAAACAGAAGCUGGAACACAAAACCACCACCACCACCAGAAUCACCAGUUGGGGGUUGGGGGAGGGUGGCCAUGCUCGAGGCCCUCAAGCUGAGUCCCCUCAGGUUUAAAAAAGAAAACAGCAGACUCAUUCCUGUCUGUAGGCAGGAAACAUCCAAUCAAAGUUCUCCAUUGCUAGAAAGGGAAGUAGAAUAAGGAGAAGGGCUUAUUGAUCUUCUUGUGAUCUAUCGAGACCAUACAUGUAGUAAAAAAUUAAAUUCAAACAGCAAUACUUUCUACACUGUUCAAAAGCAUCGAAGAUCGGACGCACCACACUCCAUGGGGCUUGUGCCACUAGAAAGAAAAGGCAGGC
rnacentral:lncRNA from 1 species